CGCCAGACUCCUACGGGAGGCAGCAGUGGGGAAUAUUGCACAAUGGGGGAAACCCUGAUGCAGCGACGCCGCGUGAGUGAAGAAGUAUUUCGGUAUGUAAAGCUCUAUCAGCAGGGAAGAAAAUGACGGUACCUGACUAAGAAGCCCCGGCUAACUACGUGCCAGCAGCCGCGGUAAUACGUAGGGGGCAAGCGUUAUCCGGAUUUACUGGGUGUAAAGGGAGCGUAGACGGCAUGGCAAGUCAGAUGUGAAAGCCCGGGGCUCAACCCCGGGACUGCAUUUGAAACUGUCAGGCUGGAGUGCAGGAGAGGUAAGUGGAAUUCCUAGUGUAGCGGUGAAAUGCGUAGAUAUUAGGAGGAACAUCAGUGGCGAAGGCGGCUUACUGGACUGUAACUGACGUUGAGGCUCGAAAGCGUGGGGAGCAAACAGGAUUAGAUACCCUCGUAC
rnacentral:rRNA from 1 species